rnacentral:rRNA from 1 species
AUCAAUAAGCGGAGGAAAAGAAACCAACAGGGAUUGCCCUAGUAACGGCGAGCGAAGCGGCAACAGCUCAAAUUUGAAAUCUGGCUACUUUGUAGUCCGAGUUGUAAUUUGUAGAGGAUGCUUUUGGUGAGGUGCCUUCCGAGUUCCCUGGAACGGGACGCCAGAGAGGGUGAGAGCCCCGUACGGUUGGAUACCAAACCUUUGUAUAGCUCCUUCAACGAGUCGAGUAGUUUGGGAAUGCUGCUCUAAAUGGGAGGUAUAUCUCUUCUAAAGCUAAAUAUAGGCUAGAGACCGAUAGCGCACAAGUAGAGUGAUCGAAAGAUGAAAAGCACUUUGAAAAGAGAGUUAAACAGCACGUGAAAUUGUUGAAAGGGAAGCGCCUAUGACCAGACUUGUUUCUUUCAGUUUUGUUAGUUCUCGGACUGAUUUACUCUGUUAGUACAGGCCAGCAUCAGUUUGUUGUCGGGGAGAAAGGCUUAGGGAAUGUGGCUCCUUCGGGAGUGUUAUAGCCCUUUGCAUAAUACCCUUCGGCAGACUGAGGACCGCGCUUCGGCAAGGAUGCUGGCGUAAUGGUCAUCAGCGACCCGUCUUGAAACACGGACCAAGGAGUCAACCUUAUGUGCGAGUGUUUGGGUGUAAAACCCCAGCGCGUAAUGAACGUGAACGUAGGUGAGAGCUUCGGCGCAUCAUCGACCGAUUCUGAUGUUCUCGGAUGGAUUUGAGUAAGAGCACACAGGGUUGGACCCGAAAGAAGGUGAACUAUGCUUGUAUAGGGUGAAGCCAGAGGAAACUCUGGUGGAGGCUCGCAGCGGUUCUGACGUGCAAAUCGAUCGUCAAAUAUGAGCAUGGGGGCGAAAGACUAAUCGAACCUUCUAGUAGCUGGUU